rnacentral:rRNA from 1 species
UACAGAGGUGGCGAGCGUUGUUCGGAAUUACUGGGCGUAAAGGGUGCGUAGGCGGUCUUCUAAGUCAGUUGUGAAAUACUUCAGCUUAACUGGAGAGGUGCAAUUGAUACUGGAAGACUUGAGUACUGAUGAGGUAGGCGGAAUGGACGGUGUAGCGGUGAAAUGCUUAGAUAUCGUCCAGAACACCGAUAGCGAAGGCAGCUUACUAAGGAGUAACUGACGCUGAGGCACGAAAGUGUGGGGAUCAAACAGG